rnacentral:rRNA from 1 species
UACGUAGGGUGCGAGCGUUAUCCGGAAUCAUUGGGUUUAAAGGGUCCGUAGGCGGUUUAAUAAGUCAGUGGUGAAAUCUGGUCGCUUAACGAUCAAACGGCCAUUGAUACUGUUAGACUUGAAUUACUGGGAAGUAACUAGAAUAUGUAGUGUAGCGGUGAAAUGCUUAGAUAUUACAUGGAAUACCAAGUGCGAAGGCAGGUUACGACCAGUUGAGUGACGCUGAUGGACGAAAGCGUGGGGAGCGAACAGG